GGCGAUAUGGUGUAACUGGUUAACACGUCGCCCUCUCAAGGCGAAGAGUUCGGGUUCGAGCCCCGAUAUCGCUACCA
rnacentral:tRNA from 1 species